GCUGCUGCGUGUCCUUUGUCGCGCUUCCGAGCAGAUCGCGGGAGCUGCUUACCAAUGAACUCCAAAGCUGGCUUUAUAAAAGCCCUCCGGCUUUACCUCUGUAAGGUCGUGGAGUAUCUACCUUAAUUAGCCUACGCUCUGGCAGGGCCUUUCCCAGGGCCCACAGCACCGAGCCACGAAGUCGCGGGUCAGGGGUGGAACGAGAUCCGUGGCCCUGGGACUCAUAAGGUCACACCAGCAUCUAACCUGAACUCCCCCCACGCGUGCCCUAGACAUCGUGUUCUCACCAGGUGAACCGCGUAACCUAACGGGUGGAUGUGUUGGCUGUGGGACUGGCCCAGUGUGAGCCCACAGAGGUCUGCAUGCUUGCAGCCACUCGAAGGAACACCGUCCUUAGGAAACACAGCCACAGGUGCAUCUCAACCUGGGGCGCUCCGUGAUUAAGCACGCGCUCCCCAGGAGGCCGAGAAGAGAACGUCAUCUCCCUGCAUGGACCUGCUUACUUUGAAACUACCUGGUUGCAGUUCAGCUGUGCAUCAGUUCCGCAUCUUCUCCCUGGGCCCAGAUACAACAGCAUAUACUGGAGUAUCUUGAAGACUUUAAGCUGAAGGAAUCUGAGAAGUGGGGAGGUCUCUGUGACUUUCUCCUGCCUUCUUCCUCUGAAGCAGGUCAUAAAAACCCUCUUGUGAGAGAUGCUGUCCCUACACCCAGAGGAAAGGAACAUCCUUAUCUUCAAGAUGGAGGGACACUAAGAAAAAUCCGGACAAACAGGCCUUGCUAAGUUCCCCCCGACUUGCUACACUUACCUUCUCUUACCGUAUUUCUCCACAACGGCCCACUCAUCAUCACACCCGGCAUAAAAAACUCUCAGCUUGAACAGUUUCUUCAGGUUCUCAGUCCCUUAUGAAGGCCCCCAUGUCACAUCAAACUUAUGUUAAAUAAAGUUGUAUGUGACACAGGCAGCAACCUCUUUGACCUCAG